ensembl:lncRNA
GUCACUCAGAACUGUUUUAACCAUUUUUGUUUCAGAUUUUUAUCUGGUGAUCAUUACAGGCUCAAAACUCCAAAAGCUCUGCAGCUGCACUUUGGUUUUCACAAAAACACUCCCCCUUCACUUCUCAGAAAUGAUCAUUCAGAGAGAAAAUGGUGGUCUCAGACCACAAACACAUUUAUGUGCAUGUCCUUACCUACCUCCUAUCAUUGGUGACUACUACACUAUCAUCACGGUACAUCAAAAAUAAGAAGACUCAAAUACUGGUGGUCAAGGAGUUCUUCUACAGAAGAGCCGCACUUUGCAAACAUUGAACUGACAGUCUUCACACAUUCAACUUCCUCUUCUACUGCUGAUCAAAACACAACAUGUACUGUUAUUAUUCCUGUGCAGCACUUCAGAUAAGAGACUCUGUGAAAUGCAAAACACAUAAAAAUGAAAAUGCUAAAGCUUUCCACUCAUUUUAUGUGAUUUUAUAUCUACUUUAAGGCAGGAGUAGAGACAUUAAAAGCUACAAAUGUAUGAAUUUACCAACAGACACAGGAGAGGAAAGAACUGAUGUCACUAUGAGGAAGUGAUCAGGAAGUUGAUGCUGUAUUCAUCUCUGAGACUGUCUCAUUUGUGAACGUGAGAGCAAGAACAGAGACUGAGAGAGACAGAGAAGCACGAUGGCUGCAUUCACAUGGAUUCAAAUGUCUUCUUUACUGAUACUGAUGCUUCAGUUUAAAGGUAAGUGUAGAUAGAAAACAUGUUCAAUUAAUAAACUGCAUUAUCAGUCAUGUUAGUUUGUUUCCUGUAGUUGAGGAACUUGCGCUAUAUGUUUCUUUUUACUUUUUAAUUUUAGUUCUCAUUAUAAACAUCACAGUUAUUAGCACAGCACAGAUAAUGUUUCACAUUUCACUGUUUUUUUUUUUUUCAACAGGAACAGCUGAGCAAUAUUCACCUGUUUACGCUGUCAGAGCUGAACAUGAUGUUACUCUGCCUUGUAAAAAUUUGAUACAUGAUCAGCAUAAAUGUAAAAGUACUACCUGGCUGUUCAGUGAUUCAGGAAGCACAACAAUAAUCUUUGAAAAUGGGCAGAUUCACAAAGAUACCCAGACUAAAUCAGACAGACUGAAUGUUAAAAAGAAAAACUGUUCUCUGGUUAUAAAGAAGGUCUCAGUUGAGGAUGUUGGUCGUUACACCUGCAGACAGUUCAACAAAUCAGGACAACAACAAGGUCCAGACAUUCAGGCUGAUCUGACUGUUAUCAGCAUCACUAAACAUGAGAACCAUGGCGACGUCAUGUUGAACUGCUCUGUAUUUGCCUAUGGACACUGUGGGCACAAAGUGGAGUGGCUGUAUGAGGAUGAAAAGAAAAUAUCAGACAUGAAGAUCUCGGCAGGUCGAUGCACUUCUACUGUGACAUUUACAAGAUCUGACCUGUCCAAGUUUUCUAAGCUGUUAAAGUGUAAUGUAACAGAUACUUCCACCAAAAAUGUGACAAUCUUUCCCUUCAAACCUCAAAAGUCUUCAGAUAAAGAUGCAAAUAAGACAAAAUCCACAAUGGCAUCAACUUCCACCACAACAGCAAAUUUAAUGCCAACACUGAAAACAUCAUUGUCAUCAACAAUAUCAUCAACAUCGUCAACAGCAGCAUCAUCAACAAUAAUAUCAUCAACACUGUCAUCAAUAUUGUCAUCAGUAUUGUCAACAACAGGAUCAUCAACAUCAAUGGAAGUAAAGACAUCAGCAGUGACACCGGUGUAUCAGAAAGCAUCAGGAAAUCAGUUAUGGUUUAUUAUUGUUCCUGUGGGAUUAGCAGGACUCUUAAUAACUGCUGUGGUAGUCACCAGAUGGAAGAAAAAUGCAGAAAACCAGAAACUUCUGUCUGACAGCACUGAUGAAGCUGAGAAUGAUGUUUCAUACGUCACCAUCAGCUUCACCAAGAAGGCCCAAAACAAAGCCCAGGCACGUUGUGGUGAUGAUGAAGGUGACACUGUGACCUACAGCACUGUGAAAGCUUCCUCUUCAUCUGCUGGCGGUUUUACAGAUUCAAGCAACCUUUAUUCCACCAUUAAUAAACUAAAGAAAGAAAAUAAAUAG